rnacentral:rRNA from 1 species
GGCUCGCAGGCGGUUUCUUAAGUCUGAUGUGAAAGCCCCCGGCUCAACCGGGGAGGGUCAUUGGAAACUGGGGAACUUGAGUGCAGAAGAGGAGAGUGGAAUUCCACGUGUAGCGGUGAAAUGCGUAGAGAUGUGGAGGAACACCAGUGGCGAAGGCGACUCUCUGGUCUGUAACUGACGCUGAGGAGCGAAAGCGUGGGGAGCGAACAGGAUUAGAUACCCUGGUAGUCCACGCCGUAAACGAUGAGUGCUAAGUGUUAGGGGGUUUCCGCCCCUUAGUGCUGCAGCUAACGCAUUAAGCACUCCGCCUGGGGAGUACGGUCGCAAGACUGAAACUCAAAGGAAUUGACGGGGGCCCGCACAAGCGGUGGAGCAUGUGGUUUAAUUCGAAGCAACGCGAAGAACCUUACCAGGUCUUGACAUCCUCUGACGAUCCUAGAGAUAGGACGUCCCCUUCGGG